UUUAAGUAAACCAACUCUCCAUAUGUUGUAUAGCCCUUCGAGGCUUGUUGAGAUCCCACAGAGGGACUUUAUUUAUGUAAAUGUUCAGAGUAUGCACAGGUUGAGUUGGUGAUUGAUAGCAUGUAUGCAAGAAGAAGUUUUAAUUUUUCUGUAUGAUGUUGAUCAUGUAUGGGAUUAUACAGGUGUACAGGUUAUAUGUCAGGCUUGCUACGGGUCCCGGCGGCCUUAAGUCGACCCGGAUCCUAGCGCCGGUAGCGGUCCGG
rnacentral:lncRNA from 1 species